UAUAGCAUGUGUUUUUAGCUUCACCGAUUUUGCAUUAUGAAAGUCACUCAUGGGAUUUUUAGCUUUAAAAUAUUACUCGGUUUCUCUGUGUCUUCUCUUCUGUCCCUGUCGGGAUCGCCACUCACACGCUAACUAUUGUAUUGGCAGGUUCAGCGGGUCGCUUGCAUUGACAGUUGAUUGUGUGUAGGUACGUGUUGCCUAUCUGAUUCUAUGGUCCAGCAUUUGGUAUCUCUCAGGGAAAGAUAUGUUUCUGGUGCAGAAGGAUGUGGUUCAUGGGGUUUAACCGCCAAAUCAAAGGUCCCAGGUGAACUUCUGUGCAAAAGGUUCAGGGAAUUGUUCUCAGCGGCACUCAAUGGGGAAAGAUUAUGAAGAGGGGUUGGAAGUAAUCGCAGGGGCGCUAAUAGCACCAACUGCCAUUUACGGACCCAAGGUAAGAUAGUUAUUGCCUGUUCAGCAAUCCACCAGCUCCGAGAAAUCCGAGGAUUUAUGGAGCAUCUGUUUCUCCGUUCUGUGAUUUUCAACUGCAGCUCCGCCUACUCCGGGAGCGGAGUCAUGGAGUGGGGGGACUCCGAACAGGCGUCUUCUAGAAUGAUAUUCAUCACUCUUAGUUAUCAAAAUUAGGCAGUACAACACGAAACUUGAUGGCAACAUGCCUCACAGGAACAAUAUCAACUUUCUUUAUAUAGAGGGAAAGCAAAGGAACGUAAUUAUUUCUUCUGGUUUACUAUUACUUAUUCUAGGUUGAGGCAUGACUCGAUCAUUUGAUGAAAGACCAUAAACCUUUUUUUUCUUAAUAUAGAAAGAUAAAAAAAAGUUCGCCAUUAUGCACGAAACAACAAGCAUACUGCACCGUGGCACCUUGGCUGAAUGAAAAUAUUAUUUGAGGCUGCUGGUCAUAUACGCUUCCUUGCAUUUGCUUGCAAUUUUGCCCAUUUGUGCCUUUCAUUUAGGGAUUUCCCCCCUAUGUACACGUUGUUGCUGCUGCUAUAUGACGCUUUCUUGGCUUAGGAGAAGGAAUAAUAGAUGCUAUUCCCUUAAGGUUUGCUUCCUGAUUUUUCUUACCAUUGGUUGUCAUCUAAAUUUGAUUAUUAGAGGAAUCAGAACCUGUUCCUUUUCCUUUCCACGGUUUGGGUUCCUGAUUCGAGUUUGUCCUUUUUUAUCGAUGAUCCUGUUCCUGCUAUGGUUAUGCAGGCCUGAGUCUCAGUUCGAUCUUGUCGUUCUGUGACUCAAAGGUUGAUGACUACCGUUGGGCACUGCCCAGUUAAGUCUACCAAGCUAUAAGCUCCUCCAUGUUAUGUUUCUUACUUCCUUUUGUUACUUUCAGUAAGAUAUUCCCUAUUGUUGGACUGGUUAGUUCCUGUAUGACCAAAUAAUACAUUGGAAGACAGAAACAUAUCCGCAUGCAUGUAAUUGUUUUUAUUAACACGAUCGUGUGUGUCAUUGUGUGUAUUUAUUUUGUGUUUUACCUGGAUAGACGAUUCUUUGAUUGCUUUCAGCCGCGAUAACUAUAAGAGAGUUCGUAGAGCAGGAUUGCCACCAUUUUAAGAUAGUGCGAACGAGGAGAGGUGACUAAUAGCGGUAAUCGGGGUGAUGAUCUUCCCCUAAAACUAAGCCUGAGCUGACAUAAUUGUUUUUUUUUCUAUCUGCACCAAACAAUUCAGAAACUUAUACAAAAUCAACAGUACGGUCUUAAAUUUAAAAUAACUAGAGAAAGUGGCGAUGCUGGGCUCCUGGAUGAUGAAGAAACAACUGCAGUGAUCACAUACAUGGGAAGUUGCCUUAUGGGUGUUUUACAUGGGUGAUGCUAUCAUCAAUGCUAUUGUUAAUUGUUCCCCAUGUCUCCAAAGAGGUGCCUACAUUUUCCUUUUAUAUCAGCUAAAUGUUUGUCUGUACAUUUGCACUUUUCCUUUACCAGAUACAACUUUGUUUUAUAUAUUUGCUUAGUGCACAACUAGGUGAUCAGGCUUGUGUAACCGAGAAACUGAGCUUUGGUAAGAUCCAAAAUCAUUUUAGAUGUUACAUCACAGAAAUAAAUUAUUUAAUACAUUUCCACCUUGAAGCAGUUGCAUUUUUACUAUUUUAUGUCUGUUGAAACCCAUAUUUCUCACUUCUCUAAUGCUAAAUUCUUAUGCUUGAUACGCAGGACCGCGUGUCCACUAUGGUACAGACCUUGGAUAUUUUCUAUGCAAAGAAGCUAAAAAUGUCUCCAUGCGAACUUGGUUGACUCAAGCAUUUUGUUGGUUCAAACAAGCCUGCCAUCAGGUAUUACAUAUAUGAGAUGAACAAGACCUUCACCGCUCCCUGUCAAAGGAUGGACAUGUGGAUUAAACUUGCAUGUGGGUGAGCUAAGGAGCAUGUCCAACUUAUAAAGGGAGUUCAUGGAAGAGCCACCAUAACAACUAAUUGGUCAGACUUGUGAAGAAAGCAGAGAUUGGAGAAUGUCAGAUAUGUGUCUUCUGUGUACAAUGCUACAAGGAGCAAACUGUUGCUCACUGUCUACCUGCUUUGACAUGGUCGGUUACAAGGUUGUCAUCAUACUAUCCAUCAAAUGUUCCCUGUGAUUUCAUCGGCUAAACAAUAUGAUCACAACAGGUUCAUAUGACAUGGCAUGUGAGGAGUUAGUCAACGAUACGACCAAGUGAAGCCAUCAAAUAUUAGGCUUCAGCAGAACUAUAUAGGUUCUUUGUGAGUGUUUGGUUGGACUUAUCUCGCACCGCCACUCUGGCUUGCUUUGGCCAUGUAAUAACACAACUAUUGGAUGUACUUAGUGACGAUUCAUGCUUUGGCUA